GGCCGCUCUAACAAAUUACCAUACACUGGGUGGCUUCAAUAACAAACAUUUACCUCUUACAGUUCUGGGGGCUGGAAAAAUCUGAAAUUAAGC